rnacentral:rRNA from 1 species
CCUACGGGAGGCAGCAGUGAGGAAUAUUGGUCAAUGGGCUUACGCCUGAACCAGCCAAGUCGCGUGAGGGAAGACUGCCCUAUGGGUUGUAAACCUCUUUUGUCAGGGAGCAACGCCGGCUACGUGUAGCCGGACUGAGAGUACCUGCAGAAAAAGCAUCGGCUAACUCCGUGCCAGCAGCCGCGGUAAUACGGAGGAUGCGAGCGUUAUCCGGAUUUAUUUGGUUUAAAGGGUGCGUAGGUGGAAUGCCAAGUCAGCGGUAAAAUCGCGGGGCUCAAGCUCGCGCCGCCGUUGAAACUGGCGUUCUUGAGUGGGCGAGAAGUAUGCGGAAUGCGUGGUGUAGCGGUGAAAUGCGUAGAUAUACGGAGGAACACCAGUGGCGAAGGCGGAUUGCUGGACAGUAACUGACGCUGAGGCGCGAAAGCGUGGGGAGCAAACAGGAUUAGAUACCCGGGUAGUC